rnacentral:rRNA from 1 species
UACGUAGGGGGGCAAGCGUUGUCCGGAUUUAUUGGGCGUAAAGAGCUCGUAGGCGGUCUGUCGCGUCGGUCGUGAAAACUUGGGGCUUAACCCUGAGCUUGCGGUCGAUACGGGCAUGACUGGAGUUCGGCAGGGGAGACUGGAAUUCCUGGUGUAGCGGUGAAAUGCGCAGAUAUCAGGAGGAACACCGGUGGCGAAGGCGGGUCUCUGGGCCGAUACUGACGCUGAGGAGCGAAAGCGUGGGGAGCGAACAGG